GAAGCUGACCAGACAGUCGCCGCUUCGUCGUCGUCCUUUCGGGGAGACGGGCGGAGGGGAGGAAAGUCCGGGCUCCAUAGGGCAGGGUGCCAGGUAACGCCUGGGGGGGAAACCCACGACCAGUGCAACAGAGAGCAAACCGCCGAUGGCCCACGUAAGUGGGAUCAGGUAAGGAUGAAAGGGUGCGGUAAGAGCGCACCGCGCGGCUGGUAACAGUCCGUGGCACGGUAAACUCCACCCGGAGCAAGGCCAAAUAGGGGUUCAUAAGGUACGGCCCGUACUGAACCCGGGUAGGCUGCUUGAGCCAGUGAGCGAUUGCUGGCCUAGAUGAAUGACUGUCCACGACAGAACCCGGCUUAUCGGUCAGUUUCACUU
rnacentral:RNase_P_RNA from 1 species